UCCGGUGUCGAUGCGUUUGGGGGAAACACCCGUAAACAUACCGAACACGAAGGUUAAGACUCAGACGGCCUAUGGUACUAUGCUGGAGACGGCAUGGGAGAGCGGGUGGAUGCCGGAU
rfam:Johnsonella ignava ATCC 51276 genomic scaffold supercont1.18, whole genome shotgun sequence.